rnacentral:rRNA from 1 species
CACGCCGUAAACGAUGAUUACUCGCUGUUGGCGAUACACUGUCAGCGGCUAAGCAAAAGCAAUAAGUAAUCCGCCUGGGAAGUACGGCCGCAAGGCUAAAACUCAAAUGAAUUGGCGGGGACCCGCACAAGCGGAGGAGCGCGUGGUUUAAUUCGACGGCAAUCGAAGAACCUUACCAGGGUUUGAAAUGUAUCUGCAUGCCCCAUGAAAGUGGGGAGGCUUUCGAAGGUGAUACACAGGUGC